rnacentral:rRNA from 1 species
UACGUAGGUGACCAGCGUUGUCCGGAUUUACUGGGCGUAAAGAGCGCGCAGGCGGUCGUUCAAGUCGAGUGUGAAAGCCCCCGGCUCAACUGGGGAGGGUCAUUCGAUACUGAUCGACUCGGAAGGCAGGAGAGGGAAGCGGAAUUCCCGGUGUAGUGGUGAAAUGCGUAGAUAUCGGGAGGAACACCAGUGGCGAAGGCGGCUCCCUGGCCU